GGCCGCGGCUCCGGUAGAUUAGGGCCAGCAGGGCACGUGGCUUGGGACCGUGUGGAGAGUGCGGGCGCUGGACAGCAGCUCCGGCCCCUCACCGACGCGCAGCCCGCGCCUGGGCCGACCUGUUGACUGAAAAUCAGCCGGCGCUUGGCCAGAUGCGUCGAUGGAGGCCCGCAGCCCAGCGACGACGUGGUAGUCAUGGCUGAAGCGGCGCCUGCCCCGCCAAAUGCAGAGAAGAGCUCAUACCUCUAUUCCAUAGAAAUCACACUGUGGACCGUGGUGCCUGCUGUUCAGGCCUUGGAGAAGAAAAGUGGAUUCUUGCCUGGCCCGCUUGCUGACUCUGGAGGGAUGCUCAGGGACAGCAGAGAAGAAGCUGGCUGACUGUGAGAAGACAGCUGUGGAGUUCAGCAGCCAGCUGGAGGGCAAGUUGGCCGUGCUGGGGACCCUGCCUCAGGAGUCUAGGCUGCUGCAUGAAGAACCUCAUGGGCAACUGGAACUUCUGGGUCCAGCGGCUUCCCCCUGGCAACAAGGGGGAGGUCCCCAAGGUAUUUCUCUGAGUCCAGAGCAGGCCCCAAGUCCAGCUAGCCCUGCCCAGGAGGAACUGAAUCAAAGGCAGACACCUGAGCAGCAGCAAGAGGAAGCAACCAUGAUUCCACCUGAGCCAGGCACUGGGAUUCCAGCAAGCACCAGCCCUUUAUCACUUAAACAGGAGGAAGAAUCUGCAGAGGGAGGAGAGUUGCCACCCUCCCCUUCCACAGAUAGCCUGCUUUCUGUGGAGCCAGCUCAGCUUCCAGGAAUGAGGCAUAAGACAGCAAGCAAAGUUGAACAAUACAUGAGACACUCCUGCCCCGUGGUGUCUAUGACUAGGACCCCUGGCCUGAUCUAAUGGCACUCACAAAGACUGGGGAAGGGAGGGGAGGCCUGAACCUGGAGUAAGGCCUGGAUCGAAUGGCAGGGGAAGCCAUGAGGUCCCCUUGGAACCAGCAAUGAUUCCUAUGACCAUCAAGACAGAAGCCCCAUCUGAGGAUCAACCUGAGCAGAACCUUCUGCAGUCCUGCAGCCAGUCCGUAUUUAGAGUCCACAGAAGGACCAGGAUUAAGACCAGGGGCCACAGAUGGCAUCACACGGAUUGGGGAACCUCAGGCAGCAGAGGAUAUGGGAGAGCCACCCUGUAUCCUUCCUCAGCCACAGAAGCAGGCAUUCCUGUGCCCUGACUGUGGGCAGAGCUUCUGCUUGAAGAUUAAUCUGACAAUCCAUUAGCAGACCCAUGUAGAAAAGAAACACAAGGAGGCUUGGAGUGGCUUGCCUAUUAGGUCAGGGAAAAGCCACUCCACACUGGAACCAGAGAAAGUGGUGGUGCCAGGCCCUGUCAUCCACUGGCCACCUGAGGAGCCCACAAGCCACCGGUCUCCAACAAGCCAUGCCUUCAUGAGACAAAGGCCAGCAACUACAGUUUACCACUGUAGUGAAUGUCUUCACUCCUUUCAGCAACAGAAGAGCCUGGUAUUACACCAGCAUCAGCACACAGGCAAGAGGCAGAGCUGGCCUGCCUGUCCCUACUGUGGCAAGGCCUCCCGCCGGCCCUCAGACCUCUUUUGUCACCAGUGUAUCCAUACUGGUGAGCGUUCCUAUCAGUGCCCCCAGUGUGGCAAGGAGCCACCACCUGGCUGUCCACAUGCAGACUCAUUCCUGAGGCUAAACAAUCCUGCAUUUCCUCUUGCUUUCUGUCCUCCAGGGAAGUCCAGCCCUGCAAGGGCCCAGCUCUGAACAGGACAGGACCUGCACUGUCUCAGGGCCUUUCCCUUGUGCCUGCCAAGUGGUGGAAGUUCCUUCACUUUCCAGCUGAGUUGGUACUUUAGGGGCCCUUCAAAAGCACAAGCUCCAGACCAGGAAUUUGAGGUGAUAGUGUCAUGCCUCAAAGUCAUGAGAGCGGGUGCUUCAUGUGCCUCUUUGUCACAGCACCUUGGGGACAGCCUUGUGGAGCUUCUGGAGCUGGGUGAUGGAUUCCAAUUCUGAUAGUUUGCUCUCUUGUUUGGCACUCAGACACCAGAGCACAUGAAGGCUCCCAGGUGCCUUCAUCCCUGGCUGUGCUAUUGCUAAAGUCCUGCAGACUCUGUAGCCACUCAGAAGUCCUGCACAGACGAGGCAGAGGGUGACACUGCCGUCAUUCCCAGGGUAGGGGUAUGACUGGCAAGACUGUGGCAUGCAGCCAUGGUUCUGGACGUUACUUGCCUGCACACCCAACCGUUGUUUAGGCCCUGCAAGCAAGACAGCAGUUGUCAGUAAGCGCUCAGACUGAACGUGGACAGUAUAGCUGCCCCAAACUUAAUCCUCCGCUGCAAGCACUCAUGUUGCUGUUCUGGGGGUUCCUAGGCCUCUCUUCUAAUGCUUUAGAUGUUCUCUGGAAAACAAGUAUUCAUAUUUGAAGCACAAAUCCAAGUGCUGGGGUGGGGGAAGAGGCGCUGUAUAAUCCUGGCUCGCCUUGGGCUUGCAGUGAAUUUUUUUCCCCUACCUCUAUCUACCUACUAGGAUUUCCUUGCUUGUGCCAUUAUGCACAACUGGGCUUACUGCAUUUAACCUGAAAUUCAAUAGGACAGGUUAAAGAGUAUUUUGAGUUAAGAAUGAACAAAGGCUGCAUGGUUGCCUGAGCUCAAAGACGUUGGAUCCCAGAUUCUGAUGACUUAUUUUGUAAAACAAAGAUAUGGUUGGGUUGGUUACAAGGCCCUAAGAACCAUGGAGGUGGAAAUAUUAACUUAAUCGGUGCUCUAUAAAUACACUGGAAAAUG
rnacentral:lncRNA from 1 species